rnacentral:rRNA from 1 species
AAGGGCAUGAAGUCAGACAUGCCGUCCGGGACUCAGCCUUGCUUUUGCUUGGUGCACUUCCUGGUCGGCAGGCCAGCAUCGGUUUCGGGCGCCGGAUAAGGGCGGGAGGAAUGUGGCACCCUCGGGUGUGUUAUAGCCUCCUGCUGGAUACGGCGGCUGGGACCGAGGAACGCAGCGCGCCCUCGUGGCAGGCCCUCGGGCACUUUCGCGCUUAGGAUGCUGGCGUAAUGGCUUUAUGCCG